rnacentral:lncRNA from 1 species
CCUGAGAACACAAUAAAGGAAGAUGGCCCUGUGGGUGGUGAUGUCUGACACGUAGGAGCACGGUCAUACAUUGGCAUGAGUAAAUGUCAUCCAAUACUUUGCCAGAGGCGUCAGAAAGGAUCUCUUGAUGUAGAUAGGCGCCUCAGUCCUGUUUCUCUGAAAGUGCCCUUCAGGCACACAUAAAGUUCUCUCCACAUCAUCAUAGUCCACUCCUUCCACCAUAGAAAGUGCAUAUUAGCACUGCUCUCCUUCCCAGUCAGUGCCUAGAAAAAUGUUAAUAGUGUCAGCAUCAAAAGCAAUUCUCUUACCCGUCACGUAGCUAAAGUACGUCUCUUACUCUCUAUUGAGUCACCAACAUGUGUACCGGAUCGUACUGUUGAGAUUGCUAACAACACAAUAUCUAUCUCACUCUGGU